rnacentral:lncRNA from 1 species
CUCAUAAUAAUAUUGUAUAGUACCAUAAUUUAUUUCAUUGCCAACAUUGUAGAAUACAAAGCCAUAAUUGCAAGGUCCAUAAAAUUAUAAAACGAAAUAUUAAAGAAAUACAUUUAUUGGGUGCAAACCAAAUUUAUUUUAGAUUGCAUAGAUUUAUUUUAUUAGUAUAUCAACUUAUUUUUCCCUGAAUCACAUUUGAUUACAAUCAUCAUCAAUUUGGUACUAAUUUUCUAGUGUCCCACCUUUAAUAAGAUAACAUCUUUUCUUGUAACACAGAUACUUAUCAGGAAUAUCGGGUGUAUCAGUUUUUGGACAAUCAUCAUCAGUUUCACAUCUCUGGAAACUUGCUGUAAAGAAAUAUGAUAAUAAAAUAAUAUUACUGAAAUUGAUACAAUAUUGUGGAUGAAAUACAAAGUAAAGAAAGAAACAUUAAAAUGAUGAAAAAUGACUUACCAUCAACGGUGUUUGUACCAAGUAAUAGGGAAAUAAAUAAAAGCACAACAUAAACAAAGUUGAUAAUUUUAACCAUAUUUUUAUCUCUUUGAAUGUAACAAAGAAUAUGUUUUUAUCACUUUAUAGUGUAUAAUGCUUAUGUUAUACUAAAGAAACUAAAUAUUUAUAAUGGUUCUGAUAUUGUAAAAAUACUUUUAUAAUUGCAGACAUUAUUAAAUGCCUCUUAAGUAGAUUAAU